GGAGCAACUCGGCCUUUUGGCUCAGCUCAAGUGUAAUAUACCAGUUUAAUACCUGACGUGUGAGUUAUUGGUCUUGGUAUUAUGUUAUAUUUUUUUAGGAGGAGGGCCCAUCAUCGUAGCUUGCUACCGGAGCUCUUGCCGUCUUGCGUGUUGGUUUUUCGUUGCUCUAUUGUAUUUGGCAGGCGCGCCUUU